rnacentral:rRNA from 1 species
UACGUAGGGUGCAAGCGUUAAUCGGAAUUACUGGGCGUAAAGCGUGCGCAGGCGGUUCGUUAAGUCAGAUGUGAAAGCCCCGAGCUCAACUUGGGAACUGCAUUUGAAACUGGCGGGCUGGAGUGUGGCAGAGGGGGGUGGAAUUCCACGUGUAGCAGUGAAAUGCGUAGAGAUGUGGAGGAACACCGAUGGCGAAGGCAGCCCCCUGGGCCAACACUGACGCUCAGGCACGAAAGCGUGGGGAGCAAACAGG